AGAAGUUUCGACAGUUUCGGGACAUAUUUGGAGAUAAUAAUGUUGGCCUUCUUACAGGAGAUUCUGUUGUCAACAAAGAUGCUCAGAUUUUAGUUUUGACUACAGAGAUUCUGCGCAACAUGUUGUAUAAUAGUGUUGGAAUGGCUUCGUCUGGGAGUGAUCUCUUUCAUGUUGAUGUGAUUGUUCUUGAUGAGGUUCAUUACUUAAGUGACAUAUCAUGGGGUACUGUCUGGGAGAAGAUAGUGAUUUAUUGCCCA